rnacentral:rRNA from 1 species
GACGAACGCUGGCGGCGUGCUUAACACAUGCAAGUCGAACGGAAAGGCCCUGCUUUUGUGGGGUGCUCGAGUGGCGAACGGGUGAGUAACACGUGAGUAACCUGCCCUUGACUUUGGGAUAACUUCAGGAAACUGGGGCUAAUACCGGAUAGGAGCUCCUGCUGCAUGGUGGGGUUUGGAAAGUUUCGGCGGUUGGGGAUGGACUCGCGGCUUAUCAGCUUGUUGGUGGGGUAGUGGCUUACCAAGGCUUUGACGGGUAGCCGGCCUGAGAGGGUGACCGGCCACAUUGGGACUGAGAUACGGCCCAGACUCCGACGGGAGGCAGCAGUGGGGAAUAUUGCACAAUGGGCGGAAGCCUGAUGCAGCAACGCCGCGUGCGGGAUGACGGCCUUCGGGUUGUAAACCGCUUUCGCCUGUGACGAAGCGUGAGUGACGGUAAUGGGUAAAGAAGCACCGGCUAACUACGUG